rnacentral:lncRNA from 1 species
CUGAUGACCUAGAAGGAGAGGAGGAACUCAAAAACAAGUGAGUGCAUGCACAAAUUUGCUGUAUUUCCCAUCAAUAUUUCCUAAUGUGCUCUUGGAAAGGAGAAUGCAUGGAAAACAAAAAAAAAACCUACCCCUGAAAAGGAGCCCAGUGUUUAGAAGGAGAUAGAUCUGUGCCUGAAACUGGAAGCAGAAUGUGUGUAUCCAUUAGAAACAGCACCUUGCCAGAGGAUCAGGAAAAUAAAAGUAACUGACUGAUGAGGAGGCACAGCAGAAGACCUGGCAGAUCCUGGCUGAGCAUCUUUGGUGGACCCCUGAACCCUCUAUUAUACAACAAUUCCUGCUACAGCUCAAGCAGGUGAUGGCCCUGGAGACUCCCUGGCUGACACCUCUCUAAGCCACCUGGGACCCAGAGAGUUUUGUGACUUCCUCGGUGUUGUGAGGAGCAGGAGGCCCAGAGUUUGCCCACUGUAACCAUGUGUUGGAGAAACUUGGGUGUAAAGUGGUGGAAGCAUACCUGGGUCUGUUGGGGGAACUGGA